rnacentral:rRNA from 1 species
UUUGUUCACGAUUAAAGUCCUACAUGAUCUGAGUUCAGACCGGAGUAAUCCAGGUCAGUUUCUAUCUAUGAAGUGAUCUUUCCUAGUACGAAAGGACCGGAAAGAAGGGGCCCAUGCUUAAGGCACGCCCCACCCCCACCUGAUGAAGGCAACUAAAACAGACAAGGGGGCACAUCAAAGUGUGCCUAAGAGAACGGCG